rnacentral:rRNA from 1 species
AUACGGAGGGGGCUAGCGUUGUUCGGAUUUACUGGGCGUAAAGCGCGCGUAGGCGGUCCGCGUAGUCAGGCGUGAAAGCCCCGGGCUCAACCUGGGAACUGCGUUUGAUACUGGCGGACUAGAGUUCGAGAGAGGGUAGUGGAAUUCCCAGUGUAGAGGUGAAAUUCGUAGAUAUUGGGAAGAACACCAGUGGCGAAGGCGGCUACCUGGACCGAUACUGACGCUGAGGUGCGAAAGCGUGGGGAGCAAACAGAAUUAGAAACCCCGGUAGUCC